UACGGAGGGUGCAAGCGUUGUUCGGAAUUACUGGGCGUAAAGAGUGCGUAGGCGGCUUGGCAAGUUGGAAGUGAAAUCCCGGGGCUCAACCUCGGAAUUGCUUUCAAAACUGCUAAGCUAGAGUAUGGUAGGGGACAGUGGAAUUCCUAGUGUAGGAGUGAAAUCCGUAGAUAUUAGGAGGAACACCAGAGGCGAAGGCGACUGUCUGGGCCAUUACUGACGCUAAGGUACGAAAGCGUGGGGAGCAAACAGG
rnacentral:rRNA from 1 species